AUGCAAAAAGACGAAGCUAAACUGUCUUGUGGACUAACGAUGGUAAACAGUGACAACAGGCACCUGCUGAAGAUCAGGGGAAGCUCAAUCUCCAGCGCUUCAUGGAUACCAUGGCUGUGCUGCUUGAUGACAGCUGGGAUAAACCAGAGUCCUUCACCCCUGAAGAACUGUUUUACGCGAGGUGUCCCUAACCAAGAAACAAGGAGACUAUGGGCCCCACCUACAGCUUCUGUCCUGAAUUUUUGGACUCACUCAGCAGCUGGGCAGAAGGGGAUGUCUGCUGCCCUGGCCCCUGCUCACCCCCAGCCCAGAACAAAAGUUUGACUAAAGCUCAGUGUCUUUCCUUUUUAUAAAUCUCUGUCUUUUAAUGAUGGCUUCAAGGCUGAGGGGAAAAAGGACCAUUAAACUCACUGAAUAAGUUAAUGGGGCAGAGAGAAUCUAUUUCAGAGCCACCCCAGGCUAUUUUCCUCUGCAGCUAAAGCCUGAAUAAGCAAAAAGAAAAAAUUAAAACCAGAGAGCCUAUUGCCAAUAAAUAAUCCCCAGUGUAAUCUCUCAGCA
rnacentral:lncRNA from 1 species